UACACAUUUUGUUUGAAAAUUUGUUCAAAUAUAAACUUCAGAUUGUUGCUAAAUUUGUUAAAUAACACUAGCUUUACCGAAAAAUACUUUAGAAAGACCGGUUUUCUGAUUUUCGAAAUAUUUACGAUAUAAAGAAGAUAUAGAGUUUUGAUUUAAAUUAAGUUUUUUUAAUCGUACAAUUCAAAAAACGGUCCGGAUAUGGAUAUACGGAUAUGGUCAUUUUGAAAUAAUUCAUUUAUUACCAUAUUUAUUUAUUUAGCUUGGAGGGGUGAAAUCAAAGACAUUAGAACAAUUAUUUUAGUGUCUUUGGUCAUAUGGGCGUUUUUAAAAAUGGAUGUGGAUAUAUGAAACGGGUUAGAGACAGUAAAAAAGAUAUAUGUACUACUGAAAAAGAAAUUGCAUUUCUAAAAACUCUUUAAAAAGGUAUCACAAAAAUGUGUCACUCUGUAUUGAAACAUUUUAAGUUUUUUAUACAAUAUAUUUUGUACGCUAGUGUAAUCAAUUACGUUAUUUCGAAACAUUUGCACUAGCGGACAUACAUAUUUAUAUAGUAUACAUACGUACAUUCAUAUGUCUGUAGGUAUAUAUUGGGACUGUAUAAAUGCAAUCGGAAACCAGUCCCACAUUCCGUACGUGUCACAUAUGUAUGUUAGUCUGUUAGUUUGUAUUCAUGGAAAUAGAGAGAUGGCUAGCAUUCGUUUACCUAACAAUUUUAUCAUUUUUUCAGCCACAAUAACAUUACAAAAAAAGUGUGUUGAUUAAAAGAAGCAUUUCUGUUUUGCAAGUUGAAGUUUAGUAAUGUAAUACCAUUGUAUUGUCUUUAACAUUAAAUAAAUAUGUUCGGAUCCCCGUACAUACAUACACGAAUUUUCAGUUUAAAGUCACCUUGAAUCAGUUAUAAUUUAAGGCUGCACCAUUUAAUACCCCUUGCAGACCGGUUUUAAGCUUAAUAAAUUUGUAUUUUGAUGUUGCAUUCAUUUCAAAUAAGACAUUUGUAUUUAUUGGUUAAGGACCACUUAGAAAAAUGUUAAUUAAGGAAGAUGCCAAAUUAUACUAUAAUAUAUGUUUAAAUCGCGUACGUGGACAAGUUCUUUGGUCAGCUAUGAGAUAGAGCGAGGCUCAAAUGGAUGGAGGACAUUGUUUGUCAAGGUAACUUGGAUAAUUGACAAGAAACCCAAGAAACUUCAUCGCGCGACCAGCAGCUAGGUUAAUUUUUAUAGACCCUACCACAAAUAAAUAAGAGUCUAUUAGUAAGUGCAAAGUGGGCAAAGAAAGAUAUAAUGGACAGAAAAUUAAUUUAUAAUAAGUAAAAACAGCAUUAAAUAUAAUAUAUUUAUUUAAAAAUAACUUUCAAAUAAUGAGUUUUAAUGACGUAGCCUAAAUUUAGACUUUCCCUUUCACCCUUUUCUACAAAUAACAAGCCGUACUCAAAGUGUAAUGCACAAAAUUUUUGUGAUCACCUUAUUUUAAUCAUAUACAUAUACAAUGAGUUGAACUCGCUUUUUAUUUUAGGAAGGUACAUGUAGUUUUGAAAAAGGGUCAAAGAUUCGAUCAGCUCCCUGGGUUAAAUUGUGGACAUAUUAUUACUAAUAUUGGAUUUGAACACUUAACAAGCUUGUUUAUGUAUGGCAUAAAUCUCUAGCACAGCUAUUAAAAGAUGUGUAGAUUAAAAUUCAUAUUAUAAUUUCGGUUGAGCGCCAAAAAAGUUUUUUCAAGUGCGAUUUCGAUAUCACUUUUUUUAACUUGUGUAUAUUCUAGAUCGAAAAGUAAUCGAUUAUUUUUGUUAAUUAAUUAAAAUUACAAUCGAUUACAAAAAACUAUGGAAUGUGUUUAAAGAGAUCAAAAAAAUAAAAUGAUGGAAAUGGCGACCUCCUAAUUGAAAACAGGAGUCAACUUCAAUGACGAUCGUACGUAAAUACUUAUCUGCUGAUCAAAUAUUUUCCACGAAAAGUGCAAAAAAACUAUUUUUAAGACUACCUCAAAAUAGUUAAACACCAUUCUUAAAGGGUAAGAAUUCACAUUUUUUUCUCAGCUUUAAAAUUUACGAAAAACUCUUUCUAAAUUGUCUGACAAAAGAAAUCACUAGUAUUUAUAUAAUGGCCUGAAAUUGAUUACCAACGACUGCAAUGUUGUAUAUCUUUAUUUAUGGUGGUUGCUAAAUUCUUUUAGUUUUGUAGUUAGAAACUAUUAGCAAAGAACUUAAUACGUUUUUUUAAUGCUUUCCAAUUUAAGACUGAAAUAAAUAAAUCCUGUUGUGUUACUUUAAUCUUACAGAGUUUUCUUUCCAUCGGGGUUUCAACGAUUGAAUAGUUUGAAACUUGUUGAAUUGUUCGCACUUUCGUAAUUUUUUGGGAGCAGCAUGCUAACAUCUGACAAGGUCAGCGAUUCAGCAAUUAAAAAGUUGAAGAAAUACCAUUAUCAGUAAAAUUAAAAAAGUAUAACAUUAUUGCGCAAAGUAAGUGGUAGUCGAAACCGGAGUAGGCUUAUGAAGGCUAAAUAUUUUUCUUUAUUUAUAAAUUUGCUUACUUUUAUAUAUAUUGAUGAAAAAAACUAUUUAAAUAAAAAAAGUUUUAAUGAAUAACAAAAAUGUAGUCAGAUACAAGCGAAGUUUUGUCGUGUACGAACAAUAGAAAAGAGUGAUAGUAUUGUAGCUUGUUUGUUUCAAACAAAUUAAGUGUAGCCAACAUAGCCAUUUUCCAUUCCAUCCCGUCGAAUGGGAAAAUUUGGAAAGUACGUUUAUCUAUAUACACUGGGUCCAAUAUCGCGCCAGUUCUCUAAACUUGCAGGCUUGCUCUGCUGCUCUUUCUCCUAAACCAUUCAAUUAUACUUCAGUUUGAAUAUUUAUUCCCUUUCACUUUAUCCACAUAUGUAUGUAAUUAAUUGUGUAGAAUUUUACUAUUCUAUUUCGUGUAGGUUGAAUAAGUAAAGACGGUAUUUAUGUUUUGAUAUGUUUUGAUCCCUAUCAUAUAUGGAUGGCCGCUAAUCAACAUAUAAUUUUAAUAUAUGAUCUUAUGAAAACGAUAACGGAAAGCAAGAUCUAUCCCCCAAAUCUUUGGAACACCCCUUCGAAAUAUAGACAUGUUUAGGAGUAUACGAGUAUAUACGCAUUGGACCUAAAUUAAAAUUUGAAUGAUAGGAAUAAGUACUGUCAAAAAUCACAAAAUGAUAUUUCAAGACUUGUUAGGUGAGAAAAUUACCAAGACGGGAUUUCCUUACCUUUCUUAGGUUGAUUUUGCUGUGAGUUGGCAACACGUACUGCAAAUACUUCAGGAAAAUUGGAAAAUGCACUCCAUAUCAGGAACGAAAUUAAAGUUUGGUAAAAUCCGUUAAGAUCCAUGGCUUUCAUAGUCGUAUGAAUGGCGUAUAAUUUGAUUUUUCACUAUUCUUGUUGUAUUUUUUUAAAUUCCUUUAGCUAUUUAACUAUACUUUGGGUGGAUGUUCACAACAUAAGACUAUAUAUUUUUAAAGUAUGUGUACUAAGCAAUAGCAACACCACCUGAAUUGAUUACAGCUUAAUGAAGUACGAGCAACGCGUUUAAGCACCAAACUGAAGCGGUAGCUACAUACGUACGACUAUAUAAAAUGUUUAAGUAGAAAAGUUACUGCAAAACGAGCUUACGAAUGAGCCAGGGAAAGGAAUGGCUCAGUGAAUCAUGACAUGGCUCAGAGAGCGCAAGAAAUUGCAGCAGCCAACUUGAUCACGAUCUCAGAGCAAGUUGGUCGAGUCUAGAGCUACCGCAAUCUCACAAAAGCUUUACCAAAGCAUAGAAAAAGAAAAUGAAACGAAAUAUAACGGAUCUUUAUUGUAUUGUUGUUGCUUAAGUCAAAUGAAGGGAAUGUUUUAAAGUUCAGACAAAUAGAUCUCAAAAAAAUGAAUACUAAAGUGCUGUGUUGAGAUUUUUGCAUGUAGCUUUUACUUUUACUCAUUAAAUGCUUACAUAUGUAUAGGGCACCUGCAAAAAGUCAGCACAUAUACGCAGAUUCUUAAACACGUUUUAAUAUACAUGAUUAAACUAUUACUACUAAUAUAAACAAAAGACAUGUGUACAAAAAUCAAUUGAAAAGAAUGGACGAAACUAAAAGCCAGUGAGGGCAGACGUAUUUUUCCGUGGAACUCGGAGCGAGUAGCAAGCCACGCCUUCCGCAGUGUACCCGCGACCGCGUGAAUCGGGCUACGCCACGCCAACACCUACAGGGCAGCAGCCUGGGAAAAACAAUACCUUUUGAAUAAAGAAAUACUGAGAAUAUUA